GAACCGUCCAAACGUUAUUCGGAAUCACUGGGCUUAAAGGGUACGUAGGCGGCGCUGUUAGUCGGGUGUGAAAUCCCUCGGCUCAACCGAGGAAUUGCGUCCGAUACUGCAGUGCUUGAGGGAGACAGAGGUAAGCGGAACUGAUGGUGGAGCGGUGAAAUGCGUUGAUAUCAUCAGGAACACCGGUGGCGAAAGCGGCUUACUGGGUCUCUUCUGACGCUGAGGUACGAAAGCUAGGGGAGCGAAGGGGAUUAGAUACCCCCGUAGUCCUAGCCGUAAACUCUGAGCACUUGAUCGUGGUCCCCCCCAUAGGAUCUCGGUCGUAGCGAAAGUGUUAAGUGCUCCGCCUGGGGAGUAUGGUCGCAAGGCUGAA
rnacentral:rRNA from 1 species